CGCCUUUACUGCCAGGACAAUACAAAUAUUACAAAGACUGACAAAAUGAAUGGAUACAAUUAGAAUAAACACUUACUUAUUAGACUUACUUAACGUGUUGGCCCUCGGCUCUAAAGACAACAACCCCACCAAUGUCUCGGCAAGAGUAAAAGGAACAAAAUCAAACAUGCAACAUCAGAAAACAGUGGACACAAAAAUCACCUGAGGACCCUGAAUUGAGGAACUCUACCCCAAACCUAUUCCAGAAAAAGGAGAUAUGACAUACAAUUAUUUGAUUAAAUAAACAUUCACAGAUGAUAUAAUAUAAUAAUAAUUUAUCUAGUCUCGAGUUCAGAAAGAAAUCGACUAUGUAUGGGGGCAUCCUGGAUUACAAACUACAGUAUCUCCCCGAAAUCAGUUAAUUGUUGUCUCUUUUCCAGAAGAUGGCGCCAAGAGACAGGAAACAGAUGAGAGGAUCAGAUUUAUUUUUUGUGAACUAGAAAUUGAGUUUACAGGACAUUUAUUGGAAAGCUGCACGUUAUGAGAUAUUCUGGAAAGAGAGAGAUAAUUAUUUGUCCAGUAAAUUCAGGAAAAUCUAAAUAUUUCAUGUUCAAUUUAAUUCACAGUAAGUCUUUUUCUAAAAAGCUGAAAUAAACAUUUGUAAAGCGA